rnacentral:tRNA from 1 species
GGGAAUGUAGCUCAACUGGGAGAGCACCUCUCUUGCACAGAGACGCGUGUCGGUUCGACUCCGAUCAUUUCCACCA